rnacentral:rRNA from 1 species
GACGAACGCUGGCGGCGUGCUUAACACAUGCAAGUCGAACGGAAAGGCCUCUUUCGGGGGGUACUCGAGUGGCGAACGGGUGAGUAACACGUGAGUAACCUGCCCUUGACUUUGGGAUAACUUCAGGAAACUGGGGCUAAUACCGGAUAGGAGCUCCUGCUGCAUGGUGGGGGUUGGAAAGUUUCGGCGGUUGGGGAUGGACUCGCGGCUUAUCAGCUUGUUGGUGGGGUAGUGGCUUACCAAGGCUUUGACGGGUAGCCGGCCUGAGAGGGUGACCGGCCACAUUGGGACUGAGAUACGGCCCAGACUCCUACGGGAGGCAGCAGGGGGGAAUAUUGCACAAUGGGUGGAAGCCUGAUGCAGCAACGCCGUGUGCGGGAGGACGGCCUUCGGGUUGUAAACCGCUUUCGCUCAUGACGAAGCUUUGUGUGACGGUAGUGGGUAAAGAAGCACCGGCUAACUACGUG